GAGGGAAAAUAAAACUCCUUUUUCCCCCCUCUUUUUUUCUUCUGUUCUUGGUGCAGAACUCAGUCUGUCAUUUUCUCAACCCAAAUCAAACAACAGCUUGUGAGAGACGCUUGGGUGAGCGCUGGAAAUUGAGGCUUAAAGAGGUUAAAUAACCAUUCCGAGGCCGCAUGCAGCAACACCGAGGACUGGAAUAAGGUGGAACCAACUGGAGUUUUGCUGAUAAACACAACAGUAUGUGUGACUUCCUGGAUCGCUAGGCCCGUUGAAGAACUGCUCUGGAACAAGGUUGAAUCCUGGAUGUACUCCUAACUGAGCCCUGGGAUCUCAGAUCCGUGAACACUUAUGGGCCUUGAAUUCAGCUAAAGUUAGGGCUGAGACACUGACCCUGCAAGAUUUCAGUAACUUCUAAAGUUGUGGGAUUUCAGGAUAUGU